CUCGUAGGCGGUUUGUCGCGUCGGGAGUGAAAACUCAGGGCUUAACCCUGAGCCUGCUUCCGAUACGGGCAGACUAGAGGUAUGCAGGGGAGAACGGAACUCCUGGUGUAGCGGUGAAAUGCGCAGAUAUCAGGAGGAACACCGGUGGCGAAGGCGGUUCUCUGGGCAUGAUCUGACGCUGAGGAGCGAAAGUGUGGGGAGCGAACA
rnacentral:rRNA from 1 species